rnacentral:sRNA from 1 species
AUGCACCACGCGUACAUUCCGCUUCCUCCGCGCCCACCUGACAACUGCUCGCUACGUUUUGUUAGCC